UUUUUUUUUGAACUGGGUUUAUGUGCGUCCCCCUCACCCCCUCCUCUCUCUCUCUCUCUUUUUUUCUUUCUCUGUCUCUGUCGUCUCUCUCGCUGCCUUUUUAAAAAUGAGGAACCAUUCUCUGAACGUUUUGGACAGAGCACAGAAUUGCUUCUUAAGUCUGCCCAGCGCGGUUGCAAUAGACAGCAAAAAGGUAAACGUUUGCCUGAAAUCCGCACGUCAGCUCCACCACCCCGCCCGAUGACUCCAUUACAAAAUCAAGAAGACAUGGACUUCUACUACUGGAAGGAAAAUUGAACAUUGGUCCAAAUUCCUGCUGAACUCAGGGUUUUGGAGAUGGAUAGAUGAGUGCAGAUGAAGACUGAGAAAUUUCAGGAGUUGCAGAUUCAAGGCAGGGUUAAAAAAAUGUAUGGCAUACAUUACCAAGAAUCAAAGAUUGUGCCUGGCAGCAUAAUUGACUUUGUGACAGAGAGAAGCUGAGCAAGGAGCCUGUUGCCCAGCACAGAAUCACAGGACGUCGGAUCCAGGUGCACAGAAUACCCGGCACCUCCGCCAGAGACACACAGCCGUCUUCCUGGGGUUGUGGAAGGGGGGCAGUUGUGGCUUGCACCGGGCCAAGGAUUUUCAGGCAUAUCAUGGGAGAUGGAGUUGGACUAAACUUUGAGAUGAGUUCCCCCAUGGUAAGGGUCCAACCCAGGGCCACAUGAAUGCUAUCCAAGAGCUCCACCACUGAGCUACACCCCCAGCCCUAUUUCCAUUUUAAAGAAGAGAAAAAUGGAGGCUCAGAGGUAAAGUGAUUGACUGGCUUAAGGUCACAAAGAAAAUGAAAAUGCUGAGGCUCACCAUCAAGCCUCUAGAUCCUUAGGUCUGUACUUCAAUGUACCCAAAGUCACAGAGCAGAAAUUGUUCUUAAAAUUUCAAAUUCAGUCAUCAGGACCUUCAAGGAUAUCAAAAUCUGUGGAUGCUCAAGUUGUUUGUAUAAAAGAGUGUAGUAUUUGCAUAUAAUCUACAUAUAUCCUCCUAUAUAUUUUAAAUCAUCUCACCAGGAGUGGUGGUGCACGUCUGUAAUCCAAGCCACUUGGGAGGCUGAGGGAGGACGCUCACCAGUUAGAGGCCAGCAACUUAGUAAGACCCUGUCUCAAAACAAAAAUAAAAAAAAUAAAAAAGGCUAGGAAUGUUGCUCAGUGGUUAAAAUGCACAUAAAAAUGCAGAUAAUAACCCUGGGUUCAAUCCCCGGUAUCCCUCCUCACACUGAAGAGACCUGGAAAUCUCUGGGUGACUUUUAAUACCUAAUACAAUGUAAAUAUUAGGUAAAUAGUUGCUAUCCUGCAUUGUUUAGGGAAUAAUAGCAAGAAAAAGUCUAUACAUAUUUAGUACAUACACAUUUGUUGCUGAACACUUUUUGAUCCAUGGUUGAUUGAAUCUGCAGAUGCCUAGCCCAUGGAUAUGAAGGGACAACUGUAGUCUAUUUUAGGAUUUAGUAGUGAGUGAAUAGAUUGGGAAGGAAGCCUACUGAAAAGAUGGUUGUCAUUUACCCCCGAGAGUCUGUGACUUUGACAUGGCUUACUAGAAUUGAAAUUAGAACAUGCAUGUCAAUUAAAAGUAAGUUGUCGAUUCCCUUCAUUUAAGCUGAAUUAUACUUCAUCAUUUUAAAAAUGCAGAUAUGAAAUGUUUUGAUAACAACUUGGGUACAAUUCUGGAUAGUAUUCUUGUAUUAUAAGACUAUUGGACAUUAGACUUAAGUUCCUGAAAAAUAUAUCCUUGCUUUCCCUGUGAGAGAAUUAAAUAGGAUUUUUAGAAAUGAUUCUGUGAAGAAAGACUUCAGAUAUUGGCAAAUGAUGUUUUAAAACACUGUGGUUGUGACUAAAAAGAUAAAGGCUGUGUCUAUAUGACACCAAACAUCUGGAUAAAAAAAGGAAAAAUAGUACUAAAAAACCCCCAUGUUUUGUUUACUUGACACUUACACAUCUGGAAAUUUAAAAACAUCUGGGUUUUUAACUCAUCCCCCCUUCCUGGGUUUCAUCUGGGUGUAUAGAAAGGUGAAAAAAGAAACUCAGUACCAUUAUUAUGAAAUUAGAUAAAAUUAUUGCAUUCAACUAAUCUGAAAACACUAAUUAUUUUAUUUAACAUAAUAUAUAAUGAAUAAAAUUCUACAUCAUGCAAGUAGAUAAAAAAAGAUGCAAUUAGGUGAUUUAAGGAAAAAACUUGGCUUAAAGCAUAUGUAAAUCUUGAUUAUAGUUUAGACAUUUAUUUGAGCAAAAAUCUUUUUAGGUCCUGAGACAACCAUUUUCUCUCUUAGGGAAUAGGUUCCCCAUGUUUUUUUGAGGCUCUGUGUUUUGACAAUAGUAAAAUUUAGUAAACACUUAGUAACAUAUGAGUUACAUCUAGUAAUAGACGUUUCCUUUGCCAAAUGAAUUAUCCAAGCUGAUAAAAUCAGUGUAAACCCACUCUCGGCAGCCUUCUGACAUGCCCAGGAAUGAACCCCAAAGAGAAAUCACAUGAAACUGAACUUCAAAGACUUUGUAGCAGUGAAAAGCACCUUAUGUGAUUGACAUUGUGUGUGUGUGUGUGUGUGUAUGUGUGUGUGAUCUCAUCUAAAAAGUUAUCAUAAUUAUUGAACAUUUCCUCUGUAGCCUGUUCUCAAUCCAAUCAGUUAUAAUGAAAAUAGUCUGCUUGCUUUUUAUAGUCUCAAGUUUUCAAAAUGAUUAGUGCUUCCUUGAGAUAUCCCAUUAAUUGGACACACAACCCAGAUGAAAAGGCUGAAGCCCAAGAGUAUAUGAAAAAACAUAAGGUUGUUGCAAUUUAAGUGCCUUCAAAAGAUCUAAUUUGAUUUUUAAAAGCAAUUCUGCAGAUGUGAAAAUUAAAGGCACGCAGAAACAAGAUAUGGUUUAAUGACUGUGUAGGUUAAGAAACAUUUAAAGGUUUUAGUAGCCUUACACCAAAAAAGAAAUUUUUUUAUUUAGCUGUUAGCUUGAAAUGAUUUGAUCCACAACACAAUAGAAAUUGCUGGAUUUUAUGGGCCACUAUUUCCUUUAUUGAAUGCUCCAUUCUUCUCCAAUGUGUUUCUGAAGCAAGUUGAUAUUUCUGUCUGCAGAUUUUCAAUCCCAGUCCCCGUCGAUCUGAUUUCAAAUUCUAAUAAAGAGAGAAGAGUGAUAUGGCUGGUCCAAAGUUGACAUAUGAUGAGAAGGUUCCAGGUGGCCAUGACUGUGGCAGUCCUCUUUGUUCCGAAGCUGGCUAUUUCUGAAGCUUUCCAGGCACAAGGCGCUUGCAUGAAGGGAUUCGCUUUGCACCCUGGCAGAAAGGAGCAGAAGUUCAGCAAGUGAACCGAGAUCUACCCAACUGCUCGUCUGUGUAUCUCCUCUCAUUCUCUGUUAAUAACUGCCUCUGCUUCUCCAAGAAGAUGAAGGCCAUCCUUGGGUAUCCCUUCCUCUAGGGUAAGCUGGGUCAGGCAACCUAACCACUGGGGGCCUAGCCAGAUGUUUAGAAAUUGGGCUGCUCAGAGCCAUCAAGGUGGCCUCAUUCAGAGGUUGGGGAACAUAAGGUCAAAAAAAUAGAACAAAACAAAACUUAUUCAUCCUUUGAGCAUGCAUCAAUAAAUUAAUGACACACAUCCACUUCAAUCAUAAUAUGACUGUCCAGAUUCAAAUAAUAUUUUCAGCCAGAUUUAUGUAUUUUUAUUAUAUUCUUUUCUUGGGCUAGCUAUAAUUGAUAUGAUUGGACCAAGUAUAAUUAAAUAAAGUUCAAGCAGAUUCCAAGAUGUAUUUUUGAUUCUACCCUCUAAAGCAAUGGGAGAAUGUCGUCAAAUUGAAGGUAUGUUAAAACAUUGUGCUACAGUUAGAGCUUGGUUCACCUCUGUUGUAAUCACAUGAUGACCAUGGAAGCCAAGCAAGUAACUCAGGACCUUCGAGUGGUAGAGGCACCACAUACAGAUUAAUAACAUAUUUAAACUAUGUUCUGUGUAGUAAUUCAAAGAUAAAAACAUAUUUUGAGUAUAUUAGUAGGACAUGUACCUUCAGCUUUUUUUUUUUUUAUUAGUAGUGGGCCUUGAACCCAAUAGUCUCUCCCACUGGGCUACACUCCCAGCCCCCUUUAUUUUCUUUUUUGGGGACAGAGUCUCAGUAAGUUGACCAGGCUGACCUCAAAUUUGUGGUCCUUCUAUCUCAGCCUCCUGAGUUGCUAGAUUACAGGCAGUCCCCACCACACCCGGCUUGUCUUCCAGCUAAUUUUUAAGAUAAAAAGGAUUGGUUUUAUACCAUUUUUCUUUCCUAUCUGUUCCCCUCAUGACUAAUGGUACACACUUACAAAUAGCUUAAUGGAAGUUAGCAAUGUGACAGCUAGGACCUUUGUUUAAGAGUAACUCUCAAAUAUGGAGGAUUGAGUCUCUAGAAUCUCUAAAAUUAGAUUUUAAAACUUAUCUCUAAUAAUGAAAAAUUGGAAGCCAACUACAUAUCCAAGAAUUGUAGGUUGAUUACAACCAUAACCUAUCAAUAUUGAAAUAUUAUAUGGUGAUUAAAAAUAAUUGUCUACACCAUUCCAUCCAGCAGCCACAGUUCUCAGAAUAUAUUCUUAGAAAUAAAAGCACACAGCAUUAUUCUUGAUGAUUGAAAAAUUAAAAAUACAAUUUUCCAACUAAAGAGACUUCCCAUGAGUAGGAUACAUAGUAGGAAAAAAGUGGGGCAUAUUCACAACAUGGAACACUCUGAAGUUAUUUCAAAGAAUGAAUUAUUCCAAUGAAUCACAUGGAAAGAUUUCUGAAUCUCAUUGUCAAAGAAGAAAAGACAGAAAAGUAAGACACAGAAGAUCAGCAUGUGCUUAUUAGAUCCCAUUAUUAUAUAAAAAUGAUACUUAAACAUCCAAUAAGCACAUAUUUGUUUUCUAUUAUAUAAGAUUAGAUUUGAAAAGUAUUAAAGGAAAAUACUAGGAUGGUAAUUUGGCUUAGCAGAAGACUAUGGUGGGAUGCAUGGAGAAUGAUGAGUAUGAGGAAAUAAAGAUGUGAGAGAAAAGGGAACCCCCCACAAAAUGCUAUGAAGCCUGCAACAAUAUUGAAGAAUGUUUUUGAUGUAAUCUUAAGGAAUGUUAAAGGGCAAAUUUAUAUGAAAAAAGCAAAUUCUAUGUAUAGUGAGCGUGAACUUGACAGGGUGGCUGGUUUGGAAGUAAUUUUAUAUUUCUUUAACUUUUAUUUUAAUAUGAUAAGAAUGAGAAGAUAUUAAAAUCCAAAGCAUUGCUCUUGCUGUUUUGCUCCUGGAUGCACAAUGAGACUUAGAAGAAUUCCUUCUUUCCUACCCCCAGAAAGGUGGCUGGAAGGAUUCUCUUGAAUUGGUAAAGAGCUCACACUAUUCUUGCAAGCCCUGACCCCAAGAUGGGCAAACUUAUAAACAACCCCAAUUGCCCAUGAAGUGACUGGUUUAAACAAACUUGAAAGAGGACCUGAGGUUAUCACAGCUUCCCUCACUACUGGAAACAUAUCCAGGUGUCCUGACCUUGAGAGACUAAUGAUCUUGUGAGGGGGCCCAGAAAAUUGGCAGAUAGGACUGCCAAAGUUCUUCACCCACCUUAGGGUGAACUUAGGGAUACGAAUGUGGUGUUUCACUUACAAAGAUAUUUUAAAGGUAAAUUUUGGAAACACUUGAAAUACCUGCCCAUGAAUUAGAUGUUGAGCCUCAACAGAAUUGAGGAGGUAUUUAUAAAUGAAUAGUUUGUUAUUCUUUAUCAGAGGAUGUGGAAAUCUAGAACAUUGGAUGAGGAAUGAAGUUGGAGAUAGAAACAGGGCUCUUACAUUCCUCAUUGGUUCACCAAGAGUGGCUCUUGACACUCUUAUUUCUUUCUAAGAUGAAUAUAUGUUAGGAGAAGGACGUGGUAAACCAAUCCUUUUUUUUUUUUUUUUUUUAAUCUGUAAGGUGUAAAGGAAAUCAUAUGGGGAUUGAUCUUAUUGAAACACAGUUUCUA